UACGAAGGGGGCUAGCGUUGCUCGGAAUCACUGGGCGUAAAGCGCACGUAGGCGGCUUUUUAAGUCAGGGGUGAAAUCCUGGAGCUCAACUCCAGAACUGCCUUUGAUACUGAGAAGCUUGAGUCCGGGAGAGGCGAGUGGAACUGCGAGUGUAGAGGUGAAAUUCGUAGAUAUUCGCAAGAACACCAGUGGCGAAGGCGGCUCACAAAACUGUAACUGACACUGAGGCUCGAAAGUGCGGGGAUCAGACAGG
rnacentral:rRNA from 1 species